CGUCGUAGUCUUACUAUAAAUGAUACUGACCAGGGAUAGGGCUCUGUCCAUUCCGACUUCUUCUGGACCUUGGAGAAAUUACAGUCUUUGAGUUCUGGGGGGAGUAUGGUCGCAAGGCUGAAACUUAAAGGAAUUGACGGAAGGGCACACAAAGAGUGGAACCUGCGGCUUACAAGUUAGGCCGAGUAAGGCGUUUUCACCGCGGUAACACGCGCUAAAUGCUUUGCUAGUCGACUCUCUACAAAGGAUGAGGAGGGAGCGGCAAGACAACCUGGAACGGGAAAAGUCUGAGGAGAACGGCUUUAACGCUUACAUUCAGACCAUCUCGUGGCGAGCUACUAGCGGGCGACUGCUAGCUAGCCGUCGUAACGCGCGGAAAGGUGUCGGGAGUCUCGAUGGUAUAGGUUUCUUAGUAGUGUUAGGUCGAUUGAGACCGGGUUUUCCCGUUCUUUUGAAGCCGAGAUGCGAAAGGUAGCCUUCGAGUAGUGAUCAGUCGAUCGAGACCGGGUUUUCCCGUUCUUUUGAAGCUGAGAGCGAAAGAGCUGACCGUGAUCAAGUAGUGAUUAGUCGAUUUGGACCGGGUUUUCCGUUCUUUUGAAGCUGAAAGCGAACGAAAGCGGUAGAGAUUCCUUAUGGUACGUGCUACACCCGCUCGCGAGAGCGUUCUGCUGUAAGAUCUCAUCCAUCCCAGAGCAGGAAGCUAGAUACUAGGCGGAAAUGCUUAGAGAAGGCUGGUAUGGAAGGUAAUUUGACUCAACACGGGAAAACUCACCAGGUCCGGAUACACGUAUGAAAGACAAGCUGAAAGACUUUUCUCAAUGAUGUAAGUGGUGGUGCAUGGUCGUUCUUAGUUCGUGGAUUGAUUUGUCUGGUCUAUUCCGAUAACGAGCGAGACCCCGGCGUUCCUAAUAGAGGCGGCAGCCCGGCUUACUUCCGCAAGGUCGUCUGCUAGCAGCCGUCGUAUAACUUCUUAGACGUAUCAGAGCCGAUAAGGUUCUUGAAAUGGGUUAAUAACAGGUCAGUCAUGCCCUUAGAUGUUCUGGGCCGCACGCGCGUUACAAUGGUAUACAUAGAAAGUGCUCAAACGGGCUUCUCCGCGGCCUAAUGGUCGCGGUAAUCCCUAAUCUCUCCCUUGACUGGGACAGACUAUUGCAAUUAUUGGUCUCAAACGAGGAAUUUUUAGUAGUCGCAGGUCAUUAACCUGCGACGAAU
rnacentral:rRNA from 1 species